UUACUACUCCCUUCAUCCUAAAAUUCUUGUCUUAGAUUUGUGUAGAUAUGAAUGUAUUUAAUCAUGUUUUAGUAUUUAGAUACAUUUAUUUCUAGACAAACCUAAGACAAGAAUUUUGAGACGGAAGGAGCGCAUG
rfam:Hordeum vulgare subsp. vulgare, WGS project CAJW01000000 data, contig: morex_contig_52629